AGAGAGGGGAGGAUGGGUGCAUAAAAAGGAGCAACAAGCUGCAAUUUAGCUGAGCGACACCUUCUUCCAUCCACCUGGGACGCUCCAGUGGGCCUCCUCCAACCUCCUCCAGGCUGCAGCUAGCCAGCUCUGCACCUCAACCUGCAGUCUGCAGCAUGCAAGCAUUUCUGCUCUGUGCUGUGUGACUGUCUGAGUGUGUCUGCUGGUUGUUGCAAGAGAAGAUUCAAGAGAGACCUGUUGUGUCAGAAGAGAGAGUGGUGGUGGAUCCCAGCUCCACCAACUUUGCAAACCUCAUUUGCACCAUGGGGAUUUGUGUGGGCAAAAUAGGAUGCAAAUUCAAAGAGGCAGGCCAUAGCAACAGCAUUGGUCCCCACCAGCACACACCGUGGGAAGUCUGGAUAGCCUGGACAUAAGUGGUCUGCUGUGGGGGUGCCGGCAAUAGCUGCUGCAACUGUGACCAUGGAAACACGAAGCACUCCAAAUAUAGACUUUUCGACGGCAACUCGAAUCUUGAGUGAAUCACUUUUAUCAACCGAAUAUCACUUGGAAUACCUAAACAGUUUGCAACUGGAGGAUUACUUAAUGCAACUGGAUCACUUAAUAAUUAGCAACUGGAUCACUUUAACAAUUUGUUUUCUUAAGGAUCGCAAACCGAGCCACUUACGGGCAUGCAACUCAACUCAUCACUUGUGGCAGCCGUAUAUUACUUAGUCAACGCAAUCACUUGAUGGCAACUUUACCACUUAUAGACCAAACCCCCUUCGCAAUACGUCACUUUAAUGGUAGCUUAUAUCGCUUGAAGUCAACCUAAUCACUUAUAAAACAGUCUGACAACUUAAUCGCUUAGUCAACUUAAUCACUUAUUGCAUCAACAUGAUCACUUAUUCGUAUCCAAUCUAUCUCUUCAUAGCAACUGUAUCAUUUAUCUAACCUUAAAAUCACUUCCUCUGGCAACCUAUCACUUAUUCAGAGACUAACAACAUAUCACUUAUGGCAAGAAAAUCACUUCUGGAAAGCUUUGGCGAUAUCACUUAUUCCCCUUCGGCAAUCUUCACUUCAAAACUUAUAUCACUUUUAUACUUAAAGCCACGAAAUCACUUAUACAUGAACUAUGGCAACAAUCACUUCAUUCAUCUCCCCUCCCCUUUAAGACGGCAGCCCGAUCGAACCAACCAACCAACCCCUCUCACUUGAACUAGAGCCAAGACAAGAACGAACUCUUUAUUGAGUGUCCUUGCAAAGCUCACCCUGUACUGUGUGAUCACUUAUGUCACGUAGUUUACAAUGUCUUAUACGAUUAUAUACAUGAUUAUUAAUAGAUGUUUUUGUCAGCAGACAAUCAUAUUUCAACGUGUUUUUAAUCUUUGUGCAAUCGAUGAUUUUAAUCCACUUAUCAUUACAGAGCUUGAA